rnacentral:rRNA from 1 species
UACAGAGGGUGCUAGCGUUGUUCGGAAUCAUUGGGCGUAAAGGGCGUGUAGGCGGUUUUGUUAAGUCAUGUGUGAAAUCCCUCGGCUCAACCGGGGAACGACGCAUGAAACUGGCAAGCUAGAGUACCAAAGAGGGGGGGUGGAAUUCCCCGGUGUAGCGGUGAAAUGCGUAGAUAUCGUAAGGAAGACCAGUGGCGAAGGCGGGUCUCUGGACAGUUCCUGACGCUGAGGCACGAAGGCCAGGGGAGCAAACGGG